rnacentral:rRNA from 1 species
AGUGAACGCUGGCGGUAGGCCUAACACAUGCAAGUCGAACGGCAGCACAGUAAGAGCUUGCUCUUACGGGUGGCGAGUGGCGGACGGGUGAGGAAUACAUCGGAAUCUACUUUUUCGUGGGGGAUAACGUAGGGAAACUUACGCUAAUACCGCAUACGACCUACGGGUGAAAGCAGGGGAUCUUCGGACCUCGCGCGAUUGAAUGAGCCGAUGUCGGAUUAGCUAGUUGGCGGGGUAAAGGCCCACCAAGGCGACGAUCCGUAGCUGGUCUGAGAGGAUGAUCAGCCACACUGGAACUGAGACACGGUCCAGACUCCUACGGGAGGCAGCAGUGGGGAAUAUUGGAAAAUGGGCGCAAGCCUGAUCCAGCCAUACCGCGUGGGUGAAGAAGGCCUUCGGGUUGUAAAGCCCUUUUGUUGGGAAAGAAAAGCAGCAGGUUAAUACCCCGCUGUUCUGACGGUACCAAAAGAAUAAGCACCGGCUAACUUCGU